rnacentral:rRNA from 1 species
AGAAUCAACGCUGGCGGCGUGCCUAACACAUGCAAGUCGAACGAGAAAGUGGAGCAAUCCAUGAGUAAAGUGGCGACCGGGUGAGUAACACGUGACUAACCUACCUUCGAGUGGGGAUAACCUCGGGAAACCGAGGCUAAUACCGCAUAACAUCGCAAGAUCAAAGCAGCAAUGCGCUGGAAGAGGGGGUCGCGGCUGAUUAGCUAGUUGGCGGGUAACGGCCCACCAAGGCGAAGAUCGGUA